rnacentral:rRNA from 1 species
GGGUUGUGAGGUUAAGCGACUAAGCGUACACGGUGGAUGCCCUGGCAGUCAGAGGCGAUGAAGGACGUGCUAAUCUGCGAUAAGCGUCGGUAAGGUGAUAUGAACCGUUAUAACCGGCGAUUUCCGAAUGGGGAAACCCAGUGUGAUUCGUCACACUAUCAUUAACUGAAUCCAUAGGUUAAUGAGGCGAACCGGGGGAACUGAAACAUCUAAGUACCCCGAGGAAAAGAAAUCAACCGAGAUUCCCCCAGUAGCGGCGAGCGAACGGGGAGCAGCCCAGAGCCUGAAUCAGUGUGUGUGUUAGUGGAAGCGUCUGGAAAGGCGUGCGAUACAGGGUGACAGCCCCGUACACAAAAAUGCACAUGCUGUGAGCUCGAUGAGUAGGGCGGGACACGUGGUAUCCUGUCUGAAUAUGGGGGGACCAUCCUCCAAGGCUAAAUACUCCUGACUGACCGAUAGUGAACCAGUACCGUGAGGGAAAGGCGAAAAGAACCCCGGCGAGGGGAGUGAAAAAGAACCUGAAACCGUGUACGUACAAGCAGUGGGAGCACGCUUAGGCGUGUGACUGCGUACCUUUUGUAUAAUGGGUCAGCGACUUAUAUUCUGUAGCAAGGUUAACCGAAUAGGGGAGCCGAAGGGAAACCGAGUCUUAACUGGGCGUUAAGUUGCAGGGUAUAGACCCGAAACCCGGUGAUCUAGCCAUGGGCAGGUUGAAGGUUGGGUAACACUAACUGGAGGACCGAACCGACUAAUGUUGAAAAAUUAGCGGAUGACUUGUGGCUGGGGGUGAAAGGCCAAUCAAACCGGGAGAUAGCUGGUUCUCCCCGAAAGCUAUUUAGGUAGCGCCUCGUGAAUUCAUCUCCGGGGGUAGAGCACUGUUUCGGCAAGGGGGUCAUCCCGACUUACCAACCCGAUGCAAACUGCGAAUACCGGAGAAUGUUAUCACGGGAGACACACGGCGGGUGCUAACGUCCGUCGUGAAGAGGGAAACAACCCAGACCGCCAGCUAAGGUCCCAAAGUCAUGGUUAAGUGGGAAACGAUGUGGGAAGGCCCAGACAGCCAGGAUGUUGGCUUAGAAGCAGCCAUCAUUUAAAGAAAGCGUAAUAGCUCACUGGUCGAGUCGGCCUGCGCGGAAGAUGUAACGGGGCUAAACCAUGCACCGAAGCUGCGGCAGCGACGCUUAUGCGUUGUUGGGUAGGGGAGCGUUCUGUAAGCCUGCGAAGGUGUGCUGUGAGGCAUGCUGGAGGUAUCAGAAGUGCGAAUGCUGACAUAAGUAACGAUAAAGCGGGUGAAAAGCCCGCUCGCCGGAAGACCAAGGGUUCCUGUCCAACGUUAAUCGGGGCAGGGUGAGUCGACCCCUAAGGCGAGGCCGAAAGGCGUAGUCGAUGGGAAACAGGUUAAUAUUCCUGUACUUGGUGUUACUGCGAAGGGGGGACGGAGAAGGCUAUGUUGGCCGGGCGACGGUUGUCCCGGUUUAAGCGUGUAGGCUGGUUUUCCAGGCAAAUCCGGAAAAUCAAGGCUGAGGCGUGAUGACGAGGCACUACGGUGCUGAAGCAACAAAUGCCCUGCUUCCAGGAAAAGCCUCUAAGCAUCAGGUAACAUCAAAUCGUACCCCAAACCGACACAGGUGGUCAGGUAGAGAAUACCAAGGCGCUUGAGAGAACUCGGGUGAAGGAACUAGGCAAAAUGGUGCCGUAACUUCGGGAGAAGGCACGCUGAUAUGUAGGUGAAGUCCCUCGCGGAUGGAGCUGAAAUCAGUCGAAGAUACCAGCUGGCUGCAACUGUUUAUUAAAAACACAGCACUGUGCAAACACGAAAGUGGACGUAUACGGUGUGACGCCUGCCCGGUGCCGGAAGGUUAAUUGAUGGGGUUAGCGCAAGCGAAGCUCUUGAUCGAAGCCCCGGUAAACGGCGGCCGUAACUAUAACGGUCCUAAGGUAGCGAAAUUCCUUGUCGGGUAAGUUCCGACCUGCACGAAUGGCGUAAUGAUGGCCAGGCUGUCUCCACCCGAGACUCAGUGAAAUUGAACUCGCUGUGAAGAUGCAGUGUACCCGCGGCAAGACGGAAAGACCCCGUGAACCUUUACUAUAGCUUGACACUGAACAUUGAGCCUUGAUGUGUAGGAUAGGUGGGAGGCUUUGAAGUGUGGACGCCAGUCUGCAUGGAGCCGACCUUGAAAUACCACCCUUUAAUGUUUGAUGUUCUAACGUUGACCCGUAAUCCGGGUUGCGGACAGUGUCUGGUGGGUAGUUUGACUGGGGCGGUCUCCUCCUAAAGAGUAACGGAGGAGCACGAAGGUUGGCUAAUCCUGGUCGGACAUCAGGAGGUUAGUGCAAUGGCAUAAGCCAGCUUGACUGCGAGCGUGACGGCGCGAGCAGGUGCGAAAGCAGGUCAUAGUGAUCCGGUGGUUCUGAAUGGAAGGGCCAUCGCUCAACGGAUAAAAGGUACUCCGGGGAUAACAGGCUGAUACCGCCCAAGAGUUCAUAUCGACGGCGGUGUUUGGCACCUCGAUGUCGGCUCAUCACAUCCUGGGGCUGAAGUAGGUCCCAAGGGUAUGGCUGUUCGCCAUUUAAAGUGGUACGCGAGCUGGGUUUAGAACGUCGUGAGACAGUUCGGUCCCUAUCUGCCGUGGGCGCUGGAGAAUUGAGGGGGGCUGCUCCUAGUACGAGAGGACCGGAGUGGACGCAUCACUGGUGUUCGGGUUGUCAUGCCAAUGGCACUGCCCGGUAGCUAAAUGCGGAAGAGAUAAGUGCUGAAAGCAUCUAAGCACGAAACUUGCCCCGAGAUGAGUUCUCCCUGACUCCUUGAGAGUCCUGAAGGAACGUUGAAGACGACGACGUUGAUAGGCCGGGUGUGUAAGCGCAGCGAUGCGUUGAGCUAACCGGUACUAAUGAACCGUGAGGCUUAACCUUACAACGCCGAAGGUGUUU